GACGAACGCUGGCGGCGUGCCUAACACAUGCAAGUCGAGCGAGUUGAUUCUCUUCGGAGAUGAAGCUAGCGGCGGACGGGUGAGUAACACGUGGGCAACCUGCCUCAUAGAGGGGAAUAGCCUCCCGAAAGGGAGAUUAAUACCGCAUAAGAUUGUAGCUUCGCAUGAAGUAGCAAUUAAAGGAGUAAUCCGCUAUGAGAUGGGCCCGCGGCGCAUUAGCUAGUUGGUGAGGUAACGGCUCACCAAGGCGACGAUGCGUAGCCGACCUGAGAGGGUGAUCGGCCACAUUGGGACUGAGACACGGCCCAGACUCCUACGGGAGGCAGCAGUGGGGAAUAUUGCACAAUGGGGGAAACCCUGAUGCAGCAACGCCGCGUGAGUGAUGACGGCCUUCGGGUUGUAAAGCUCUGUCUUCAGGGACGAUAAUGACGGUACCUGAGGAGGAAGCCACGGCUAACUACGUGCCAGCCGCCGCUGUAA
rnacentral:rRNA from 1 species